UGAUGGGGAAANUCUUCAUUCCUCAGUACCUA
rnacentral:piRNA from 1 species